rnacentral:rRNA from 1 species
GAUGAACGCUGGCGAGAUGCCUUACACAUGCAAGUCGUACGGGGAUUUUUAAUUCAAGUGGCGGACGGGUGAGUAACACGUAAGAAUUUGCCUUUAGGAGGGGGACAACAACUGGAAACGGUUGCUAAUACCCCAUAUGCUUUCGAGUGAAAUGGAUUUUUCCGCCUAAAGAGAAGCUUGCGGCUGAUUAGCUUGUUGGUGAGGUAAUGGCUCACCAAGGCGACGAUCAGUAUCUGGUUUGAGAGGAUGAUCAGACACACUGGAACUGAGACACGGUCCAGACUCCUACGGGAGGCAGCAGUGGGGAAUUUUCCGCAAUGGGCGAAAGCCUGACGGAGCAAUACCGCGUGAGGGAAGAAUGCCUAUGGGUUGUAAACCUCUUUUUCAGGGAGGAAUCAAAUGACGUGUACCUGAAGAAUAAGCAUCGGCUAACUCCGUGCCAGCAGCCGCGGU